rnacentral:SRP_RNA from 1 species
AAUGGGCGUUCCGCACAACGGGAGACCAUGAACCUGGUCAGGGGUUUGCGCCAGCAGCCAUAAGUGUCCUCUUUCGUGUGUGUUGGAACUCCCAUUGGC